CUGAGUGAGGGCCUUCGGGCUCGACCUCCAACCCCUUGUGAACACCAACUUGUUGCUUCGGGGGCGACCCUGCCGUUUCGACGGCGAGCGCCCCCGGAGACCAUCAAACACUGCAUCUUUGCGUCGGAGUUUAAGUAAAUUAAACA
rnacentral:misc_RNA from 1 species